ensembl:lncRNA LINC00470 long intergenic non-protein coding RNA 470
AUCAGGGACAAGUCAGAAACCACAUAAAUAAUUUUAACAAGAAGAAUUUAAUAUAAAAAUUAUUAACUAGUAAAAGAUAGCUGGGGAAGGCUUAUAGACACCCCCCACAAAAAUAUUCAUAUCUGGAACCUGUUAAUGUGUUACUCUCUAUGACAAUAAGGAUGUUGCAGAGAUGAUUAAGUUAAAGAUCUUGAGAAAAUUAUCUUGAUUAUCUAGAUGGGCUCAGUAUAAUCACAAGAGUCAUUAUAAGGAGAAGAUGGAGGCAGGAGAGUCAGUGUCAGAGAAGGAGAUGCAAUAAAAAAAUCAGGGUCAUAGUCAGACAUUUGAAGAUGCUAUGGUUCUGGCUUUGAAGAUGGAAGAUGAGGUCAUGAGCCAUGGAGUGCAGGCAACCUUUAAAAGCUGGAAAAGGCAAAGGAAUGCUCUCCUCUUGAUUCUCCAAAUGGAAUGUAGGCCUGCUAACACAUUGAUUUUAGCCCAGUGAAAUGCAUUUUGGAUUUCUGUCCUACAGAACUAUAAAGUAGUAGAUUUGUGUUACUUUUAAGCCACUAAAUUUGUGGUAGUUUCUUACAGCAACAACAAGAAACAAAUUUAUUAGCUAACCUAACCACUAAUGACGCAAGAGACAAUUCUAAGGACUUUCAAAACAGCAAAGUAGGAGCAGCUGCUACCUCUAGGGAUGAGGGAGAAACUCAAAAAUGCAUACAAAAACCAUUGCAUGAAAAGUGACUGGAUUUGUACAUAGCGUCAGGAGAUGUGCGUAGUGUCAAAGUAUCUCAUCACACAUUACUUGAUAAUUACAAAUGAGAAAAAUGAACCUUCACAGUGGCAAGACUUGACUUCUACCUCUUUCAAAAAGAUGCAAUUGUCCAAUUAUUGGUGAAAUUGUCAUUUCAUGCUAUUGGCUAUUUGAAAUUCCUCCUCUAAUUUCAGAAUAAAUCACUGAAAUUGACAUCGGCCAGUCUGAAUUUCAAGAAAUUACCUGCUGAAGACAAGAGGGAUCUCUUCUUCAGAUUUGCAGUCUGGGGAAGACACAGCCUCUACUGUACUUUAGAACCUGAGAUAUGGUGGUGGAGGGAGCCCUGGGUCGAGUGGUAAGAUUCACCCUUAGGUUAGUAUUGACGUAAGGUGACGAGGAGCUGUAGACAAAAGAUUGUAACCAUAAGAACUUCAUAGUUUUUGUAUUUUCACCGAGCUUAUAUUUGGUGUGUUUUUUGUCUUUUCUUUAUGAUUAUCAAUAAAAUGCUUGAAAGG